rnacentral:rRNA from 1 species
GCCAGGGUAGCGAAAAGGGAUUAGAUACCCCCUGUAGUCCUGGCAGUAAACGGUGUGCGCUUGGUGUGGGAGGAUUCGACCCCUUCCGUGCCGGAGCUAACGCGUUAAGCGCACCGCCUGGGAAGUACGGCCGCAAGGCUAAAACUCAAAGAAAUUGACGGGGGCCCGCACAAGCAGUGGAGCAUGUGGUUUAAUUCGAAGCAACGCGCAGAACCUUACCAGGGCUAGAAAAACUGAGAAUCCUGACGAAACUCGGGAGUGCUCGCAAGAGAACUCAGGUCCAGGUGCUGCAUGGCUGUCGUCAGCUCGUGUCGUGAGAUGUUGGGUUAAGUCCCGCAACGAGCGCAACCCUUGUCCUUAGUUGCCAUCAUUUAGUUGGGCACUCAAAGGAGACUGCCGGGGUCAACCCGGAGGAAGGUGGGGAUGACGUCAAGUCCUCAUGGCCCUUAUGUCCUGGGCUACACACGUGCUACAAUGGUCGGUACAAAGCGCUGCGAAGCCGCAAGGUGGAGCGAAUCGCAAAAAGCCGGCCUCAGUACGGAUUGCACUCUGCAACUCGAGUGCAUGAAGUCGGAAUUGCUAGUAAUCGCUGAUCAGCAGGCAGCGGUGAAUACGUUCCCGGGCCUUGUACACACCGCCCGUCACACCAUGGGAGUCGAGUGCUCCAGAAGUGGCCGCGCUAACCCGCAAGGGAGGCAGGUCCCCAAGGAGUGUUUGUAA